rnacentral:lncRNA from 1 species
UGUGCGAGAGUGGGUUUGGGUAGCGCUGGGCAGACGGGUUGAGGAAAAGGCAGUUCAGUAGGUGGGAAAGCAACGGCAUUGGAUAGACAUUUAGACACCAGGCUGAUUGCAUUUAAAACCUGCACCUGUAUUUGUUUUCUCUUUUAUUUGAGGAUUCUAAAAAGAGAGGAGGCAGGGAGAAUAUUUACUAUUAGAGGCAGGUAGAGAACUGCUUUGCAUUUUUAUAUAUUUUUUUUUUUAAUUUCUUUCAUUUUAUUUUUUUUCUCCCUUUAGCUCCCGUCCCUUUCUAACCCGCCUCCUUUAUUCCCAGCCCGCUCCAGCCACCGGAGGCUGUUACUCCCCCCCAUCCCGGGGCAGGCAGGGAGCCCCCAGGACACAGGUGGGUGUCAUGUCCCGGGACUCUUGGCUGGGCGGCGGGGUGCGGGGGUACCGGGGUCCCCGUCCCGCGUCCCCGACACUUGGCUGGGCGGCGGGGUGCGGUGGGUACCGGGGUCCCCGUCCCGCGUCCCCGACACUUGGCUGGGCGGCGGGGUGCGGUGGGUACCGGGGUCCCCGUCCCGCGUCCCCGACACUUGGCUGGGCGGCGGGGUGCGGUGGGUGCCGGGGUCCCCGUCCCGCGUCUCCCGUCCCGCCCCCGCGCCGCCUCCCGCCCGGGGGCCGGGCCGGUGCGGGGGCGGCGGCGGCGGCGUGUGUGUGCGUGUGUGUUCGUGCUCGGCUGCGGGAGACGAGGAGACGGUCGGUCUCACCCCCCACCCCGCGCACACGCACCCCCGGACGAGGCGCGUCGGCUGUCGGGGCGGUGGGGGGUGUGUGGCUACCGCCGGGCAGCCAUGGGCCACCGAACCCCCGAGCCUCCUCGGGCUCCGCUGGCAGCCGGACCUGCCCUGGCGAGUUCCCGCCCCGGCUCUCGGCCCCGGGGCGAGCGGAGGCGCCCGGUCCUGCCCGCCCCGCCCGGGGGAGCCGCCCCCGGCCCCGCCGCGGGAGGAGGAUGGGGCGGCGGCGGCGGCUGCCCCAUGGCGGAGGAUGUUGA